rnacentral:rRNA from 1 species
UACGUAGGGGGCUAGCGUUGUCCGGAAUCAUUGGGCGUAAAGCGCGUGUAGGCGGUCCGGUAAGUCCGCUGUGAAAGUCGGGGCUCAACCUCGGAUGGCCGGUGGAUACUGUCGGGCUUGAGUACGAAAGAGGCGAGUGGAAUCCUGGUGUAGCGGUGAAAUUGCGCAGAUAUCGGGAAGGAACACCAGUAGCGAAGGCGGGCACUCCUGGGCCGGUAU